rnacentral:rRNA from 1 species
UACGGAGGGUGCGAGCGUUGUCCGGAAUCACUGGGCGUAAAGGGCGCGUAGGCGGCUCAUGAAGGCUGUGGUGAAAGUCCGGGGCUCAACCUCGGAUCGGCCGUGGCGACUCGUGGGCUGGAGCACUGUAGAGGCGGGUGGAAUUCCGGGUGUAGCGGUGGAAUGCGUAGAGAUCCGGAAGAACACCGGUGGCGAAGGCGGUCUGCUGGGCAGUAGCUGACACUGAGGCGCGACAGCGUGGGGAGCAAACAGG